rnacentral:rRNA from 1 species
UACGAAGGGGGCGAGCGUUGUUCGGAUUUACUGGGCGUAAAGGGCGCGUAGGCGGCGGAUUAAGUCGAGUGUGAAAGCCCCGGGCUCAACCUGGGAGGUGCGCUCGAGACUGGUCUGCUUGAGUUCGGGAGAGGAGCGUGGAAUUCCCAGUGUAGAGGUGAAAUUCGUAGAUAUUGGGAAGAACACCGGUGGCGAAGGCGGCGCUCUGGACCGAGACUGACGCUGAGGCGCGAAAGCGUGGGGAGCAAACAGG